rnacentral:rRNA from 1 species
UACGAAGGGAGCUAGCGUUGUUCGGAAUCACUGGGCGUAAAGCGCACGUAGGCGGAUUUGCCAGUCAGGGGUGAAAUCCCGGGGCUCAACCUCGGAACUGCCUUUGAUACAGCAAGUCUUGAGUUCGAGAGAGGUGGGUGGAAUUCCUAGUGUAGAGGUGAAAUUCGUAGAUAUUAGGAAGAACACCGGUGGCGAAGGCGGCCCACUGGCUCGACACUGACGCUGAGGUGCGGAAGCGUGGGGAGCAAACAGG